rnacentral:rRNA from 1 species
GACGAACGCUGGCGGCGUGCCUAAUACACGCAAGUAGAACGCUGAAGAGAGGAGCUUGCUCUUCUUGGAUGAGUUGCGAACGGGUGAGUAACGCGUAGGUAACCUGCCUUGUAGCGGGGGAUAACUAUUGGAAACGAUAGCUAAUACCGCAUAACAAUGGAUGACACAUGUCAUUUAUUUGAAAGGGGCAAUUGCUCCACUACAAGAUGGACCUGCGUUGUAUUAGCUAGUAGGUGAGGUAAUGGCUCACCUAGGCGACGAUACAUAGCCGACCUGAGAGGGUGAUCGGCCACACUGGGACUGAGACACGGCCCAGACUCCUACGGGAGGCAGCAGUAGGGAAUCUUCGGCAAUGGGGGCAACCCUGACCGAGCAACGCCGCGUGAGUGAAGAAGGUUUUCGGAUCGUAAAGCUCUGUUGUAAGUCAAGAACGGGUGUGAGAGUGGAAAGUUCACACUGUGACGGUAGCUUACCAGAAAGGGACGGCUAACUACGU